ACCUGGCUGGCUCAGUCAGUACAGCAUAUGACUUUUGAUCUUGGGGGUGUAGGUUCAAGCCCCAUGCUGGGGG
rnacentral:tRNA from 1 species